UACGUAGGGUGCAAGCGUUGUCCGGAAUUAUUGGGCGUAAAGAGCUCGUAGGCGGUUUGUUGCGUCGGCUGUGAAAUCCCGAGGCUCAACCUCGGGUCUGCAGUCGAUACGAGCAAACUAGAGUGUUGCAGGGGAGACUGGAAUUCCUGGUGUAGCGGUGAAAUGCGCAGAUAUCAGGAGGAACACCGGUGGCGAAGGCGGGGUCUCUGGGCAACAACUGACGCUGGAGGAGCGAAAAGCGUGGGGAGCGAACAGG
rnacentral:rRNA from 1 species